rnacentral:rRNA from 1 species
CCUACGGGUGGCAGCAGUGAGGAAUAUUGGUCAAUGGGCGCGAGCCUGAACCAGCCAAGUCGCGUGAGGGAAGACGGCCCUAUGGAUUGUAAACUUCUUUUGUCGGGGAGCAAAAGACGCCACGCGUGGCGUUCCGAGAGUACCCGAAGAAAAAGCAUCGGCUAACUCCGUGCCAGCAGCCGCGGUAAUACGGAGGAUGCGAGCGUUAUCCGGAUUUAUUGGGUUGAAAGGGUGCGCAGGCGGAAGAUCAAGUCAGCGGUAAAAUUGAGAGGCUCAACCUCUUCGAGCCGUUGAAACUGGUGUUCUUGAGUGAGUGAGAAGUAUGCGGAAUUCGUGGUGUAGCGGUGAAAUGCAUAGAUAUCACGCAGAACUCCGAUUGCGAAGGCAGCAUACCGGCGCUCAACUGACGCUCAUGCACGAAAGUGUGGGUAUCGAACAGGAUUAGAUACCCUUGUAGUC